rnacentral:lncRNA from 1 species
GUGAUCGUUCUUUUAUAGCAUGGGAACCCUCAUGUUCUUUAUCUUCUUUUUCCUCUGAAGGAGCAACAGCUUCUGUUUUGCUUGUCUGGGGUUUGGGAACGGGCUGUUUGGAUUCUUUCAUUACUUCUGCUACGGAUGAGAUCUUCAGUGGACCUUGCUGUACCGGUUUCUUUGGUAUGGGUACACUGUAAGGUGCAGGACCAAGUGCCAUCUCAAACAGUUUGUCAGAGUAAGGAAUGGCUUUCUCUACAUUCUCCCGGAAACGCGGGUCGUAGCUGGCAUACAGGACGGUUCCCCCUACUCCUCCACCCACAAACAACACGCUGGCACCAAUGAUUUUGCCUACAGAAACACCGGACUCCCCCGACGGGGUCGCAUAUCCACGGCUCAGUCGUGGCGGACGGAGUGACGCUCUCCUGCACCAGCAGUUCUGCGCGGCCACCGCGACCCCCGCUCGCUGACAGGCCCGCAGCAUCGCCUCAGAGCCGGCGGCGCCCGGGGCAGGCUGCAGGAAGGCGCCGUCCACGAGAACUCCCAGCACCUCCCGCGUCCGCCCCUCGCCGCCAGCAGGGCGCGGUG